rnacentral:rRNA from 1 species
AUGCGGGAAGAGUUCGACGCGCUCGUGCGCAACCGCACUUGGCAGCUGGUCCCGCGGCCACCCCAUGCCAACGUCAUCUCUGGCAAGUGGGUAUUCCGGCAUAAGACUCGUCCUGACGGGUCUCUCGAGCGCUAUAAAGCUCGGUGGGUGGUCCGUGGAUUUCGGCAACGCGCCGGAGUCAACUUCACCGACACGUUCGCCCCGGUUGUCAAACCGGGCACGAUUCGCGCGGUUCUCCAGCUUGCGGUCUCUCGCGCCUGGCCGGUGCAUCAGAUGGAUGUGUCGAAUGCAUUCUUGCAUGGCCAUCUUUCGGAGCAGGUGUUCUAUCAGGAGCCAACCGGCUUCGUCGACGCAGCUCAGCCUGAUCAUGUGUGCCUGCUUUCCCGCUCUUUGUACGGGUUGAAGCAGGCCCCUCGCGCCUGGUACCAGUGGAUC